GAGGGGGAGGUCACAAGUUUGAGUCCCAUCAGGCACGUACCCAAUUAAUUUUGUUUUUCCAAUUUGUUGGGUUUUUUUUGAAUUUUUAUUUUGCAAGUGCUUUUCUUUUCUGACUUUUUAACAUCGGCAAAGCUUUUACCGAGUAUCCGACAAAAUACACUUGGCAAAGAGCUUUUUGCUCAUGCUUUUUUUUACCGAGUGGCCUUCGUUGUUCGCCGAGUGUUUUGAGGGCUUUGCCACUACCGUUUCUAGUAGUUUCCACCUAGAGACUACAUUAUCAUAGACGCCAGGGAAGCCACGCCCCUAUGCCCACCGGCCGCUCGUGCUAACUGCAAUUGGGCAAGGAGCGUUGUGUAGGCCGUGCAGCAUGGCGAGGCAGCCACCAUCACCAGGGGCCGCCAGGGUCUCGAUCGGGCACU
rnacentral:lncRNA from 1 species